AGAGCAAUGGGCAGAGUACUUCGAGCGUAAGAACCACGGAAGAUGGAGCCGGCAGCGACACCCGGCAGCCUCCCGCGGUCGGUGGGGUGCUAGCGGCGGGCCCGUCAGAGCCGCCUGGGCCGUGGUAGCGUCGACAUACGGGAGCGGUCGCGCCACGCCCGGCCUUCACCACCGCCGCCGCCGCCACAGCACACGCGGAGGCCAGCGCUGUGCUGAGCAUGGAGACCGCAGUGUCCAAGCUCGCUUUUUUUGUGUCUUUGUCAAGGCUGUAUCUCAAGUGCUUCAGUGAUAACAAACUCUGAGGAAAAUAAUAAAUAAGGUUAAUUUGAUGCAGUUGUUGCAUAAUAAGUGAAAACUUGAGUGAAGUGCUGCAACAGGAGAGUUACACUGUUAUUCGUCAAGUGAACUCGUUACUUGUAUCACGUGGAGUGUGUGUAGUGUGGGCGUUACAGGGUGUUGGUGCAGUGUUACUUCAACCGUUAUUCUGUGACAGUUGCCUCCUACGACUCACCGCGUGCACACUAACGUGCGACGUCUGUCACGUGCUGACCCUGUCACGCUAUCAUUAGUGUUUGGAUCUUUGAGCAGGUGUUAUUGGCGGCGAGUAGCGUCACAGCCUGUUACAAGCGUAGUUGUUAUUUUGCGAGGCGUCACGUGCACGGUUCGGAGUGUCACGACCUGUCACGUGGACGUCAUCAGUGUUACAGCGUUCGAGUGCCGACAGGAUAUAACGUUCCGUCACGUUAUUGCCUCUAGUGUUACUAGAUUAGUGUCACAGCUUGUGUUACGAGUGUUAAACGUGCGGCUCAGCGUCACAACCUCAGUUUGACGGCCACUAUUGAGCGUGGGCGGAGAGUGGCCGCACGUGGGCGUGAUGCGGCGGCACCACCGCGCCCACCAGCUGCCAAGGUCAGGUCGGGGCGAGCAGUGGGCGUGGUGAGGUCGUCUGCCAUGACCUGGGUCAGGCCACCCACGGGCGUGCCCCCGUCGGGCGCUUCCACCACCACCUCGCCCCCCCUGCUGCUGCUUCUGCUGCUGCUGAUCUCCUCAGUGCUCUACACCCCAGGAAUGGCAGACAGCAGCAGCGUGGGCGGCAUCGGCAGGCAGGUGGACGUGAUUGAGUCCUUGCAGUUGCUGAACACAAGCUACCCUGGCCUGACCGUGAUUCGAGGUCCUAGGCCCUUCGCCCCGGCGGUCUUUCUCCAGGACGAGCCCCGAGAGGUUCGCGUAACAGAAGCUGUGCAGUCAGCGGCUUCGUCCCUGCUGAGCGGCUCCCGUGAGUUCACCAUCAUGGCGACGCUGCAGCAGGAGGAUCGCAAUGCGGGCACGAUCCUGGCCUUCUCCCGCGGUAACCAGCCCUACCUGGAGCUGCAGUCGUCCGGGAGGAAGGAUGAGAUACGCCUGUACUACAUCCACAACGGCGCGGCCCACGUCGAGGUCUUCCCUUACCGCAUCGCUGACCAACGUUGGCACAAGGUCUCAGUUGUGGUCAGUGGAACCCAGAUUGAGGUGUGGGUAGAUUGCUCCCGCGUGUACCGUCGCCUCGCCCCGCCCCCGAUGACCAACCUCUCUGCCUUGGCUUCUCUGGCACCGCCUCUUGACCCCAGUGACCCCCUGCUGAGCCAAGAUCCGAGUUACCGGGAGACUCCGAUGGCGUUGUUUCUGGGUCAGCGCAACAACAGGCACUUCCUCUUUAAGGGUGCGCUGCAGGACGUACGUCUGGUGUCCGGGCCAGCGGGGUAUCUGCUGCAGUGCCCUCAAGCGGAAGCCGAAUGCCCAACUUGUGGCCAGUUCCAGGUCCUGUCAGACCAGGUCAACCAACUCCAGCAGCUGGUGACGCAACUAGCAUCUCGGUUAUCAGCCUCUGAAGCCCGUCUAGCUGCAGUGGAAGAAUGCGAUUGCCAGAGGUCAUGUCGGGUCAACGGAACCAUUAGACAGGACGGUGCAACUUGGAAGAGUGGAUGCGAAAUCUGCUCGUGUGUGCAUGGCGAGGUAACCUGCCGUCCCAUACCUUGUCCUGCAGUGACCUGCAAGAACCCAGUCUACACGGAGGGAGAGUGCUGCCCGGUGUGCCUCAAGCAAUGUUCGCUGAAGGGAGUUGUUUAUGACCAUGGAGAAACUGUGUCCCCGAGGCAAUGUGUAGACUGUGAGUGCCGGGAUGGGAAGAUGCAGUGUCGCCGAGUUGAUCCCAAGGAAAUGUGCCCGCCUUUACCUUGUCCUGAGAGUGAACAGUUCACCGUGCCAGGCCAGUGUUGCAAGUUCUGCCCUGGGGUGGACUACUGUGCUCAAGGCCAUGACUGUCAUGCUAAUGCUACCUGUAUCAACCUUCAGACUACUUAUGCUUGUCACUGCAACUCUGGUUUCACAGGCAGUAAUGGACGAAUGUGCACAGAUAUUGAUGAAUGUCGCGAAGUAGGGGCCCAUCACGGCCACUACUGCCAGGCACACACCAGGUGUGUUAACACCAUUGGCUCGUAUGUCUGUGAAUGUGAAGAUGGAUAUGUACGAGUGGAUGAGCUGACGUGUGUGGAACGUGAUGAAUGCAGCGAGGGAGCUCACCAGUGUCAUCAGCAUGCUUCGUGCACCAACACCCAAGGUGGAUAUCACUGUACUUGCAACGAGGGAUUUACUGGAAAUGGAUUUGACUGCAAGCCUUUAUGCAAUGCAACGUGUGAGAAUGGAGGUAUUUGUGUGGCCCCCGGAGUGUGUGAAUGCCGCCGUGGAUUUAAGGGCCAGGCCUGUGAGCUCGAUGUUGACGAAUGUUCACUUGGACUCCACCGCUGCCACCCAAAUUCCCGCUGUGUGAAUCUUCCAGGCUGGUACACAUGCCACUGCCUCCCUGGCUACACUUCACUCAUGCCAGACAACAGCCAGGGUCUCCUUUGUCAAGAUGUUGAUGAGUGUGCAGCAGGGACAGCCACCUGCCAUGAGUCAGCCACCUGCAUCAACACAGAGGGAUCAUUCAUGUGUUCCUGUGACAAUGGAACCUCCUGCUCUCAUGGGUGCGUGGUCAAUGGGUCGGAGCGGCCCCAUGGAGACGUGUGGACACCUCCUGGUUCUGAGUGUUCACAGUGUAUCUGUUCCGAGGGGACAGUGACCUGUGAUCGCUUCAUCUGCGACUGCUCUGACCCCAAUGUCAACACCAUGUGCUGCCCUCACUGCGACCCGAGGGCCUCAUGCACGCACCAAGCACAACCACACCGCACUUUCCACAGCGGUCAGCGAUGGAUAUACCAGUGCCAGACUUGUGAAUGUUUGUAUGGAGAGAUAGACUGUUGGCCGCUGGAAUGCCCUCCAGUGCACUGUUCUUCUCCCGAGCAAGUUGCAGGAGACUGCUGUCCGCGCUGCCCAGACGACCCCUGCAUGGCUCCGGAACCCGCGCGCAUCUCCGCCAACGCGAGCCUGGGCGGGGCUGCUGCUGACGGCUUGGCUGGAAGUGGAGACGGCGAAGGCAGUCAGCCCACUGAAGCGUCACCGCCUCAGGGCUGCCACUACCUAGGUGCCACGUACCCACCCGGUGCAGAGUGGGCAGCACUCAACGAUGACUGCAUCACGUGCAGGUGUCAGAUGCCGUACUGCUGGGAGGGUGGAAGUCGGGGUGGUGCGAUCCGUGUUCACCGGUAAUCAAGUUGUGGCCUCUUGUUGCACGGGCGUUGCUUGUUGCGGGGCGGGCUAGUGGCCUAGCGUCGGGGUGGACAGGUGUGUUGUCGUUACCGCAGCCACUGUGUGGGUGAUGGGUACUGGCCUGCCUCUCCAACUCUACUCCCUGGUGCUUCGAGGGUUGGGAAUGCUCCAUCUGUUGUUAUGGGGGAUGC
rnacentral:misc_RNA from 1 species